ACUUGACUUCCAGUUUGGACCAUAAAUCCGGUCGAUUAUCAAUCAGAUGAUGGUACAUUACUUCAGCGAUAUUUUUUUGCGCUGGACUACAACUUGCGCAUUCUGUCGCCAAAGCAUCUGGAAUAUUUUCUGCAAUAAGUUCUUCACCAUCUGGAGUACAAGGUUUUUCAUCCAGCAUACAAGCGACGUAAUUAUUAACCAGCCGGUCGUUUUUGAUAACCGCAUUAAUGUCAAUAUUAUCAUACUUUGUCGAGUACAUGCUGGACUUAUUAAGAGCCUCAGCUGAGACAAAACUACAGAGAGAUGCAAUUGUCGCAGAGACGAUGAAAAUGAUAAAGAUCUUCAUUGUAAUUCUGUUUAGCAUGAUGAUAACUCGAAGCAGUAAUGCAAGUUCUUUAGUGAAUGAUGUAGUAAUACGCCAGCCGGGAUAGACUAUUAAGUGGCCGCUGCAAUCCACCCAUUUGAUACGAGAUAAUGG